rnacentral:rRNA from 1 species
AUGGUCGUUUCCUGUCGUAGUAUGCGGCACAGCUUGUUCACGAAAAGAGAUUGCCCCUCCUCGCAAGGAGACCGUCAUGGAGAGGUCUCCGUCAAAUUCACAUGGCAGCAAGAUCCUUUUUAUCUUAUUUGCAGCUGUCUUCAUCAUUCUGUUGAUCUUCAUCUUGUACCUCUGGUGGGUCAGGCGGGCUGCCCCAGGGCGACACGAAUCUCUACCGUUAAUGCCAAUUCAAAAGCAGGCCAGAUCAUCUCCCGGGAGUGGCCGCCGACAAUCCUCUGGGCGGUUGAAGGAGCGUCGGACAUCUGGAUAGUGAAGCACUUAUUCUUGAAAGAAACCUUAAUCGUCAACAGAUUCAGACUUGCUGUUGUCUUCCUGUUAGUGCAGCAGUACAUAACUGUUUUGUCUCCAAGGCUUGUUUAG